ensembl:lncRNA
UUUUAUUUUCAUUUCAUUUGUUUUUUUUUUUUUUUUUUUUUGGUUUUUAUUUUGGCCAUAACCAAGGAUGUAAAUACGAGAAAAAAAGUAAGCAUACAACACUCAUUGUAAAAAGUUUUUAAAAAUUUAACCGCUCCAUCCCACUGUCACGUAAGUGGAACUAAAACAAAAAGGAAAAAAAACUGUAACAAUAAUAAUGAGCAAAGAAACGUGUAAUGCUUGUUACAUUUUCUACGUAUGCACCCUCUCACAUGUGCAUGCAGAUCCAUACUCAAAAAGUGCCCCGUGACAUUAAUCAUGAACCCUGUGCCUCCUCUUGUUUGCAAAGAGAUAGAUGCUUUAUUGGAGUUUAAAAGUGGGAGGUGGGAGAAUAGAACAUAAAGCAGGUUUAUUAUUUUGGCGUGAAUGCCAGCUAACCUGGCUGCUACACAUCGUUUAAGUCCUCAGAACGGACGGAAAAACCGUCCACGACCUCACAGGAGCUCCGCGGAAACCGGCCUCGAAAUGUCGGACGUUGUCUGGAAGACCAUCUAGUUUUGUCGCUUUUAGGAGCUACUUCUGCAGGUAAUUCUGGGAUUAAUACAGGAGGUCUUCGAAUCACGUUGGAGUUUCGUACCUAAGUCAAUUUUCACCGUAAAGGCCUCUACACACUGUGAUUUUAACAAUCUUGUAAGUCCACAGCUUGUUACGCUGUACGACAUGAAUCUAAUAAUCUUUGGGCACAAUGUGAAGUUUGCUUAGUGCAGAUUGCACGAUGAAAACGCAACUGAAUCGCAACCUACGAAGUACAUGAGUUGACGUGAAUACGCAAGAAUAAAACGUCAUAAGCGCGCACCGUCCAUCCAUGAAAACUAAACAACCGAAGCAGAAACAGAGCUCCUACAAUCACAGGGAAACUAGCCAAACAUGAACGGAGCCCUCGCCCUGCUAAUGUGUUUGGAGAGAAAUCCCAAAAAAACAAGGCUUCUGCUGCCACAACUCUGCUAGGUGGUCUUCUUUGUUUAAAUCCCACAUACUUGUUUCGAUGCAUUUUGCCAUUGUUGCCACAAAUCAUCUAUUUGGGUUAGAAUUUCAUGGCAGCUUGUCUUUGGUCGCAUGACCAUGACAACGGCCGUCCUUGAACCUGUCUCGCAGUGCAACGUACGACCACCGAUUUAGAGCCAAGACCAAAGCUAUCUCCACCAUUCUCUCACUAUUGUUAUCUUUGGUCUGGGACGGCUGGAAAUCACACAGUGUGUAGUGGUCUUAAGUUGGAACUCCGAUGAAAAUGUAAACAAAGCCGUUACGUGCAUCACGAUAUGAAUCAGUUUACAUAUUUGUACAACUACAGUAAUAACAGUAAUUAGCUCACACUGAAACACAACUCGGUAGGAAAAUGCUGGCGAAAAUGUAAGCAAAGCCGUUACCUGCAUCAACAUAAGACUCACCGGGAUACGCCGCUGCUGUUGGUCUUCCAGCCAAAGCAGUAAUUUUCUUUCCAUCUCAAAAAUGAGACCAUGAUGCAGAUCCUUUCACAUUUUAAAAUUCUCACUUUUUAUCACUGAUGAUUGUGGAGACAGUCAUGGGACUUAGUCCAAGCAACCAGCCGAUGUUUGUCUGUUUCGCCCUGUUCCAAGCAUUUUAUUACAUCCAGGUUCACCAGUUUCCAUGGAGAUGGCUUUCGUUUUCUUCAAAGCAUCAGUCUGACUUACGCUUGGGAGCCAUAAUGAAGUUAGCGAAAGUAGCAUAAUCCAGUGUGGCGGCAAAUAGAAACAAAGCCAUCUUACAGCGCCACAUGACGACAUAUUCAUCCGCUAUGCUCGCCAACUAGUUCCAUUGAACCACUUCCAAUGUUAUGAUGAAACGCCGUAAGUCGAGAAGGUCGUAAACCGAGAACGUUGUAAACCGAGGACCUCCUGUACUGCAUAUGCAUCUUCGAGAUUUAUUUAUAGUGCUUCGAUAUCUGGCAAGGUUGAUUCAAGCAAUGGUUCAAAUUCUGCUUUUACGGGAUCCAAUCUGAACCAAAAAACACCUGAAAUGAAGCGUAAAUAAAGUUUUAACAUGUUUCCAGAUGGCAAAAACGAGCUUUCAGAGUCCGGUUUCUCCACGGAGCUGCACAGAUCCUGGUUUUAUUCUCACUUGUUGACACAUUGGACAAGGGUGGAGAUUUGUCUGUAAUGUCUUUUUUUGUUUUUUUUUGUUUUUUUUUUUAUGGUUGUGUUUGGUCCCCCCCCUUAUGCCAAAUGUAGAGUUUUGUUUAAAGACGACAUGCAAGUAGCAAGAUGUCUAUGCAAUUUCCCUCCUUAAAAACAAAAAAACAAAUAAAAAUCCCUCCGAAAUGGUAAAAAAAAAAAAAAAAAAGACGGGGCUCGCUGUAGCAACAAGCGGCUCUGUUUCUCGCUGGUGAAAAAUCAAAUUCGGCCCGGCUUGAGUUUCCAGAGGUUCUUUGCAUGACCCAAAGACCCCUUGCUACUGUGUGUGGGAACCGGACUCUCCCAGAGGCGAGAUUCGCUGGACUUCUAGCCCGUGAAAACUGGGGCUCGAAGUCCGGCGAACCUCCACGGCGGAGUCCGGGUCCAUGAGAGGAAGUAGGAGGGCUUUUACUGGGGAUGUUGUGGAGAACAAGGAUUCUACAAGAUGUGCUGUUUUUUGUAAACUGCUCAGAAAAGUGGUGCGUGCGUUACACGUGUGUGUGUGUGUGUGUGUGUCGUUUGGACGUUGGUGGGCGUUUCCUUCGAUGCUCUCAUCGUUCGGUGGACGCAAAAAUCCAGACAAAGACCCUUAAAAUCCAGCCCCCGAAGCCUUUAUUCCUGCGACCAAGUUAAUGUAACAUUAGAUUUUAGAGCGGUUCGUGUUCGUGAGUUUAUUUCAACCCAUUCCCGGAAUGGGAAAAGAAGAAAGUAGGUAAUAACGAGCAUCUAGAACCUGCUGACCUUCAAACCUACAUAGAGCACUUAACUAGAAAGCACUUUGAACGGCCCAAACCCCAAAAAUCCUUGGCAGUAUUAAUUGUAAUGAGAUAAAAAUAUAUAUGUAUAUGUAAAUUGCACCCAUGCCAAAUGCCUUUUGCACCAUUUAAUGUCUUUUUAAAAUUAGUUUAACCCAAAAAUAAACAGAGCUCAGGCCUCUAGGCAAAGCCAUUUUAAUUCUAAAGUUUACAAUUAUUUUUUCAAUCAAGUGCAAUAAGUGAGGGAGUGAACCUUGUGGCGUAUUUGUCGUCUAAUCGGAUCUUUUUUUUUCCCUUACCGCCGACGAGAGCAUCGACAAAAAAGAAAUGAAAAUACCUCGGUCCAGACACACACACACACACACACACACACUCACACCAACAUGCACACACACAAACACAGACCACUUUUUGUGACUGGGUAAAGGAAGCUAUUGAAGGAUUCUCUCAGGUAAAAAGAACAUUUUCUAAUAAAUGAUGAUGAACCUUAGAUGAAAACCCAUUGUUAGCUCAUCUUUUUUUCAUCUUCUCAAUUUGCAAUCGCCCGAUGUACGUUUUGUUUUUUCAUUUUUUUCUGUUCUGUGUUUUUGGUCCAGGUUAAAAAGUGUAUGGAAAACCAGGUUCUUCAAAAAGAAAACAAAUUGGAAGCAGAAUAAUCAGGCUGCAUUCUUCUACCUCGAACUGAAAGCAAAUAUCUUCAUGUAUUGAGAUCUCAUCCAGUCGAGCAUCCUUACUGGAAAACAACUUUUAAUGGACUUAAACGAUCUUCUGUUGACAUCUUGGUGCCUGAAACCAAAGGAAACCUCAAGAAACCUUCAGAGAUGCUGUUUUGGAGGCGCCAUGGGAACCUCUAC